ACACGGAGGGUGCAAGCGUUAUUCGGAAUCACUGGGCGUAAAGGACGCGUAGGCGGGUUGGCAAGUCAGAUGUGAAAUCCUACAGCUUAACUGUAGAACUGCAUUUGAAACUGCUAACCUAGAGUAUGGGAGGGGGAGAUGGAAUUAGUGGUGUAGGGGUAAAAUCCGUAGAUAUCACUAGGAAUACCGAAAGCGAAGGCGAUCUCCUGGAACAUAACUGACGCUAAGGCGUGAAAGCGUGGGGAGCAAACAGGAUUAGAAACCCUAGUAGUCC
rnacentral:rRNA from 1 species